GAGACCCCCUCCAUGGGGUGAAGUAUCACCAGUGCUAUAUCUGGGAAGUGGACAACGGUGCUGCCUGGUGAUUGACUCCAGCUAAUGGUCUCUUUGUCAGCAAUCCAUCAGUGACAACAGCUUGCCCACUGUUUUGGGUCUGAGCAGCACCUGUGCUGAGGACUGGCCUCCGUGCAGAGUAGAAAUCAGCAUGUGGCAGUUCUGGCUUAAGGUUUCAGAUAUGAAGAAAGCAUAAAUUUAUUCUGCAGUCUACUCAUCAUCUUCUAGUACUACCACAUGACAGUCACUUCUGGAACUAUGGAGAACAAUGUAACAGACCCAGAAGAGUCUCCAUGCUGAUGAACAAUUGAUCUGUUGCUCCUGCUCUUUACUACCACUGCAGCAAGCCAGUCCUCCCCUAGCUGACACCCGUCCCUCAGUUCGGCCAGAAGGAAAUUCUCCUUCCUCAUCUGCAAUGCUCCCAGUAAGCUUUGCCAUGAACCCAUGCUUGAAGACAAGAUUCAAGGGAGCCCAAGGUUGCAUGGUACAUUUGGACCCGGAGUGUUUCCUCUACCAUGGGAGUUCUCAACUGGGGGUGGUUCUCCCCCCAAAGAAGACAUUGGCAAUGUUGAGACACUUUGAUGGUCAUGCCUGGAAAGUUCCUACUGCCCAGUGGAGAGAAGCCAGGGGUGCAGUUACCCAUCCUGCAAGGCACAGGACAGCGCACAACAAAGAUAAUAUGUCAGUAUUGCCAAGGUGGAGAAACUCAAGUCUGCUCUACCAGAAAGCAGAAAGAAGUAUAAUGAAGACAUCUUCAAGCCACUACAUGAUGGAAACACACUUGCUGCUUUCAGUGUUUGAUCUCAGCUCUCUAUCUACAGUGACUUUUGGAGCCUCAUAAAUGAAGAUUUCGUCUAAAAUCUGUGCCUUUGUGGAUGAGAGAGUAUCAAUAAAUAAGUCAGUGAAUCCUAAUAAAUAAUAUUCCCUUUUAAGUAUUUCUUCUUGAAAACUGUUGCCAGCAGGAAGGAACUGCUGAGGACUAGGCAGGGUCAAGUGGGGGUGGUAGUGAGAAGUGAGAAAAAGAAGGAAAUUUGGUUAGAACUAACAUUUCCUUAUUAAUUAUU